UACGUAGGGGGCAAGCGUUGUCCGGAAUUAUUGGGCGUAAAGAGCGCGUAGGCGGUCCGGUAAGUCGGUUGUGAAAGUCGGGGGCUCAACCCUCGGAUGCCGAUCGAUACUGUCGGGCUAGAGUCCGGAAGAGGCGAGUGGAAUUCCUGGUGUAGCGGUGAAAUGCGCAGAUAUCAGGAGGAACACCAAUGGCGAAGGCAGCUCGCUGGGACGGUACUGACGCUGAGGCGACGAAAGCGUGGGGAGCAAACAGG
rnacentral:rRNA from 1 species